rnacentral:rRNA from 1 species
GGACUACACGGGUAUCUAAUCCUGUUCGCUCCCCACGCUUUCGUGCCUUAGCGUCAGAAACGGCCCAGCAAGCUGCCUUCGCCAUUGGUGUUCCUACUGAUAUCUACGCAUUUCACUGCUACACCAGUAAUUCCACUUGCCUCUGCCGUCCUCUAGGUAUCCAGUAUGCAAUACAGUCCACAUGGUUGAGCCACAGGAUUUCGCAUUGCACUUAAACACCCACCUACGCACGCUUUACGCCCAGUGAUUCCGGAUAACGCUUGGACCCUACGUAUUACCGCGGCUGCUGGCAC